CGUGCGGCAGCUACACAUGCAGUCGACGACUCUUCGGAGUUAGUGGCGGACGGGUGAGUAACACGUGGGAACGUGCCUUUAGGUUCGGAAUAACUCAGGGAAACUUGUGCUAAUACCGAAUGUGCCCUUCGGGGGAAAGAUUUAUCGCCUUUAGAGCGGCCCGCGUCUGAUUAGCUAGUUGGUGAGGUAAAGGCUCACCAAGGCGACGAUCAGUAGCUGGUCUGAGAGGAUGAUCAGCCACAUUGGGACUGAGACACGGCCCAAACUCCUACGGGAGGCAGCAGUGGGGAAUCUUGCGCAAUGGGCGAAAGCCUGACGCAGCCAUGCCGCGUGAAUGAUGAAGGUCUUAGGAUUGUAAAAUUCUUUCACCGGGGACGAUAAUGACGGUACCCGGAGAAGAAGCCCCGGCUAACUUCGUGCCAGCAGCCGCGGUAAUACGAAGGGGGCUAGCGUUGCUCGGAAUUACUGGGCGUAAAGGGAGCGUAGGCGGACUUUUAAGUCAGGGGUGAAAUCCCGGGGCUCAACCUCGGAAUUGCCUUUGAUACUGGGUGUCUUGAGUAUGAAAGAGGUGUGUGGAACUCCAAGUGUAGAGGUGAAAUUCGUAGAUAUUCGGAAGAACACCAGUGGCGAAGGCGACCCACUGGUUCAUUACUGACGCUGAGGCUCAAAGCGUGGGGAGCCAACAGGUUUAAAUCCCCUGGGGGUCCCGCCCCUAAACGAUGAUUGCUCCUUGGGGGGAUCAUGAAUUUUUGUGAAAGCGCUAACGCAUAAGAAAUCCCCCCGGGGGGAGUACGGCCGCAAGAUAAAACACCCCAAAAAAUGAACGGGGGGGGCCGCCCCAACCCGGGGGGGUCCUCUCCGUUUUUUUUGAAUGGGACCCCCCCAGAGACCUUUUCCCCCCCAGUUU
rnacentral:rRNA from 1 species